rfam:Streptomyces sp. SirexAA-E, complete genome.
ACACGCUGAAAGGAGGUGAUCCGAAAAGUGCAGUCUUAUCGGAUUCGUGAGGUGGCUGCGGGCUGACAGCCCGUCGUCGCACACCGUGCACCUCGGCAGGCUGUCUGCCGAAACCCAAGCAGUCACCGACCCGCAGGCUCGCCGGUAAGUCCGGCCGGCUCCUCCGCAAGGAGGGACCAGAGCCUGCGGGUUUCUGCGU